AACAGGAUUAGAUACCCUGGUAGUCCACGCCGUAAACGAUGUCGACUUGGAGGUUGUGCCCUUGAGGCGUGGCUUCCGGAGCUAACGCGUUAAGUCGACCGCCUGGGGAGUACGGCCGCAAGGUUAAAACUCAAAUGAAUUGACGGGGGCCCGCACAAGCGGUGGAGCAUGUGGUUUAAUUCGAUGCAACGCGAAGAACCUUACCUGGUCUUGACAUCCACAGAACUUUCCGGAGAUGGAUUGGUGCCUUCGGGAACUGUGAGACAGGUGCUGCAUGGCUGUCGUCAGCUCGUGUUGUGAAAUGUUGGGUUAAGUCCCGCAACGAGCGCAACCCUUAUCCUUUGUUGCCAGCGGUCCGGCCGGGAACUCAAAGGAGACUGCCAGUGAUAAACUGGAGGAAGGUGGGGAUGACGUCAAGUCAUCAUGGCCCUUACGACCAGGGCUACACACGUGCUACAAUGGCGCAUACAAAGAGAAGCGACCUCGCGAGAGCAAGCGGACCUCAUAAAGUGCGUCGUAGUCCGGAUUGGAGUCUGCAACUCGACUCCAUGAAGUCGGAAUCGCUAGUAAUCGUGGAUCAGAAUGCCACGGUGAAUACGUUCCCGGGCCUUGUACACACCGCCCGUCACACCAUGGGAGUGGGUUGCAAAAGAAGUAGGUAGCUUAACCUUCGGGAGGGCGCUUACCACUUUGUGAUUCAUGACUGGGGUGAAGUCGUAACAAGGUAACC
rnacentral:rRNA from 1 species